GCCCGGAUCUAUAACCGGGUUAACCCAGGUCGGGUUCUGGAUAAGCCUGGAACCCGGGCCAGAACCUGGUUGCACAGUCCCAUAAUAAAGAGCUGAAAAGGGUUCUUAGUCAUUCGCAGGCAAGUUCAGUGCGAGGGCACAUUAACUAGGUUGGGAUUGGUCAGGAAGCAGUUAACACUGCUGGAGCUGCAAAGGGAACGCAUAAUUCCAGACAUAAUAGAUUGGCAAUUCAAGGUCAACCCUUACAAGAUGCGAAUAAAUUACAGGCAGUAGAAUUACCAUUUCAUUUUUGUUUGCUUUUAGAACUGCUCUUAGUUGGUCAUCCAUGCCAACAGAUCUGUUUUCAAACUGAGUUUAAUUACUGAUUGUGGUAUAUAUUUCUCAGACAAGUAGAGUUUUCUCACUAGAGGAGGGUCCUGGAGUUCUUUUCAAGGCACUUGCUGUUUUUGCUCUGCAUCAAAUCAACCUUACAAUGGCAUUUCCUCUCAUCCUCAGUCCUCUAAUUCCGUUCUUUUCUCUUUUUCACCAGAUUGAAAGCAGCUGUUGGGAGCAUCAGGUGAUAACAGCAAUGACACUAUUUUAAUUCUUUUUCUUUACUCUCUUGCAGAGCAUGUUCUGUUUAUACUUGCAAAAUGCAAUUCUUCCUCUUCCACAACCAUAACUUGUUUCAGUUUUCAGAAAUCUACUCAUUAAGAGUGUAUCGAUUGAAAACAAUCACUUCUUAUUUGCCACACACUGUAUCUUUAAAUCAUAUUGCAAGUGCAUGGUACUAUUAAAUUUCAAAAGAACAGUUGAGCCUGUAAAUGAACCAGGUCUCAUCAUGCAUAGAGCUUUUGUGUAGUUUCUAAACACUUGUACG